UGCAGUCGACGAUGAUCCGGUGCUUGCACCGGGGAUUAGUGGCGAACGGGUGAGUAACACGUGAGUAACCUGCCCUUAACUCUGGGAUAAGCCUGGGAAACUGGGUCUAAUACCGGAUAUGACUCCUCAUCGCAUGGUGGGGGGUGGAAAGCUUUUUGUGGUUUUGGAUGGACUCGCGGCCUAUCAGCUUGUUGGUGAGGUAAUGGCUUACCAAGGCGACGACGGGUAGCCGGCCUGAGAGGGUGACCGGCCACACUGGGACUGAGACACGGCCCAGACUCCUACGGGAGGCAGCAGUGGGGAAUAUUGCACAAUGGGCGCAAGCCUGAUGCAGCGACGCCGCGUGAGGGAUGACGGCCUUCGGGUUGUAAACCUCUUUCAGUAGGGAAGAAGCGAAAGUGACGGUACCUGCAGAAGAAGCGCCGGCUAACUACGUGCCAGCAGCCGCGGUAAUACGUAGGGCGCAAGCGUUAUCCGGAAUUAUUGGGCGUAAAGAGCUCGUAGGCGGUUUGUCGCGUCUGCCGUGAAAGUCCGGGGCUCAACUCCGGAUCUGCGGUGGGUACGGGCAGACUAGAGUGAUGUAGGGGAGACUGGAAUUCCUGGUGUAGCGGUGAAAUGCGCAGAUAUCAGGAGGAACACCGAUGGCGAAGGCAGGUCUCUGGGCAUUAACUGACGCUGAGGAGCGAAAGCAUGGGGAGCGAACAGGAUUAGAUACCCUGGUAGUCCAUGCCGUAAACGUUGGGCACUAGGUGUGGGGGACAU
rnacentral:rRNA from 1 species